rnacentral:tRNA from 1 species
AGUGAACAUAGUUUAAUUAAAACCCUAGCCUGUGAUU